rnacentral:rRNA from 1 species
GAGGAAUAUUGGUCAAUGGGCGCAAGCCUGAACCAGCCAAGUAGCGUGCAGGAUGACGGCCCUAUGGGUUGUAAACUGCUUUUAUACGAGAAUAAUUUGAUGCACGUGUGCGUUAUUGCAUGUAUCGUAUGAAUAAGGACCGGCUAAUUCCGUGCCAGCAGCCGCGGUAAUACGGAAGGUCCAGGCGUUAUCCGGAUUUAUUGGGUUUAAAGGGAGUGUAGGCGGUUUGUUAAGCGUGUUGUGAAAUUUAGAUGCUCAACAUUUAACUUGCAGCGCGAACUGUCAGACUUGAGUACACGCAACGUAUGCGGAAUUCAUGGUGUAGCGGUGAAAUGCUUAGAUAUCAUGAAGAACUCCGAUUGCGAAGGCAGCAUACGGGAGUGUAACUGACGCUUAAGCUCGAAGGUGCGGGUAUCGAACAGGAUUAGAUACCCUGGUAGUCCGCACAGUAAACGAUGGAUGCCCGCUGUUAGCGCCUGGCGUUAGCGGCUAAGCGAAAGCAUUAAGCAUCCCACCUGGGGAGUACGCCGGCAACGGUG